rnacentral:lncRNA from 12 species
UCGCACUCUUUACUGAGCAGUAAGAAAAAGCACCCCUGGGUACAUGGUUGGUUAAGCUUCUGCCUCUGAGUCCUCCUGGUUGGAGGGGGCCGGCCUGCCCGCCCCGGGGGCCCCCCCCCCCCCGCCCUGCCCUGCUCCCAGCUCGUGCCUCUAGGCGGCAGCACCGCACCGCAGAAAGCGCAGCCCGCAGCCUGGCGCAGGCCCGGCUCCCAGCCAGGGAUGCUCUUAGCUGCAACUUCCACCAGCGACUUCGGGCCAGCGGCUUCCUGUCCUGUGUUCGGCCUCUGUGUUCUCCUCUGUAAAAUGGGGCCGUGAGCACCUGCUCUCCCAGGAAAAGCUUGCUGUCCUCUGCUCUGUGGUAUCCCGUGGACAACCAAAGGGGGACAUCACCACUGAACCCAGAGAGCGAGGCAUCCAGUCCCCCCACUGCGGAGCUGGGCCAAGCUGGAGGGAACAGUGGCCUUUCCUGCUGACCGUGCAUGGCCCACUGGUCCCCCAGAGAAGCUGCAGAGGAAAGCCCAGGCUGGCCAGCUCUGGGGUUGCCUACAGAGUCCAGUGCCCAGUGAUGCAGGGAAUCAAGUCGCUGGGGGCUCAGGGGCCAGCUCAAGCUAAGGAACCGGCACAGAAGUGAUGAGACGGCCUAGGACUUGGGUGGGACCAGAGCUGAUGUGUGGGGAAAUCUCUCUCUGCGCUAAUUGCUGUCAGCAUCCAUCAGGAUCGCCGAGAGAGCAACAUCCCAGCCAGAGGGGCCUUGGGCUGGAGCUCCAUCACCAGGAGACGGCCUCCCUGGGAAGGCCCGGGGACCGGACGCCGCUGCAUCUGCUGGGCGUCUCCACCGGGAGGUGCCAAGGAGGCGCACACAGCCCCAGCCUGGGGGGCCAGCAGGCCCACCGACCCUACCUGGGAGCCCCUGGCUCUGGGGGAGCCCUGAGCAACCACGUGGGGGGCCCGGGGCGGCUGGGCUACGGGGCACCGGCUUCCAUCAGCCUCUUAGACCAGUCCCCGUUUAUCUCCUUUAGAUCUCAGGCCAGCCCCGAGAGGUUCUGUCAAAGGGGUUCUGCUGGAUUCAAAUAG